GCUCAGGACGAACGCUGGCGGCAUGCCUAAUACAUGCAAGUCGAGCGGACUUGAUGAGAAGCUUGCUUCNNNGAUAGUUAGCGGCGGACGGGUGAGUAACACGUAGGCAACCUGCCCUCAAGUUUGGGACAACUACCGGAAACGGUAGCUAAUACCGAAUAGUUGUUUUCUUCGCCUGAAGGAAACUGGAAAGACGGAGCAAUCUGUCACUUGGGGAUGGGCCUGCGGCGCAUUAGCUAGUUGGUGGGGUAACGGCUCACCAAGGCGACGAUGCGUAGCCGACCUGAGAGGGUGAUCGGCCACACUGGGACUGAGACACGGCCCAGACUCCUACGGGAGGCAGCAGUAGGGAAUCUUCCGCAAUGGGCGAAAGCCUGACGGAGCAAUGCCGCGUGAGUGAUGAAGGUUUUCGGAUCGUAAAGCUCUGUUGCCAGGGAAGAACGCUUGGGAGAGUAACUGCUCUCAAGGUGACGGUACCUGAGAAGAAAGCCCCGGCUAACUACGUGCCAG
rnacentral:rRNA from 1 species